UUUCGAUUUGUUUUGGUCCGGCAUUUCGUGUAACUUUUCAUUUCAAUUUGCUGAACGAUUCGGAGCUGAUGCUGAUCGAAACCUUCGGAAUUCCGGCCCAAACUAAUUGUAGUUCCUGCUGAAGGAUGCGAGUUGCUCCUGAUUGCGUUCCCUUUAUGGAAUGGUUGCAUUCUGGCUGUUCAUCAGCUUUCGAUCCAAACCCCCUUGGUUUAGAAAACAAUGAUGUGUGUUGCGAUGCUCCUAUAGGUGGUCAGACGACAAUUUUACACAGCUAGCUGCAAUGACCCAAUCGAAAAAUGCUCCUGAAACAUCGAAUCCGAGAGCGGCAAAUGGUAUGUUUUUCAGUUUUCAGAUGUUGUGGCCUACACUCGAUACCGUCACACGAUGCUACGUUGACCAGGGACUAAUGUUUGAACUUGAACGAUUAAUCCAAUCUCGUCCUCCUGUUAGCUGAAUCGAUGAAUUUUGAACUCAAACCCGAAAAA